rnacentral:lncRNA from 1 species
GGAUGUGCCAUGAACUUUGUGAUUUGGAGCAAGUCAUCCCACCUCGCUGGAAGUGUUUCCUCAUCUAGAGAAGAAAGAAUCUGAAGGCUGUGGGGACCUGGAGGCAAUCUGCCCCGCGUGGACUUGGAGCUCCCUCCGGCUGCAGUCGGACUGCCUGCUUCUCCAGGGACCAACAUGGCAGAGGCGCGAGAUCACCCCUUCAAGGGCCUUGCAAAUCAGUAACUAACACUUAUCAGCCUUUAGCCCGUUUUGAUCCUACAUGAUUUUGACCUUAUGGCUUGACUUUGGAAUCUUCCGUCUAUAAAAGCAUGGCUCUGCUG